rnacentral:rRNA from 1 species
CGCGUAGGCGGAUAUAUUAGUGUCAGGUGAAAUCCCCCGGCUUAACCGGGGAAUUGCUUGGCAAACUGUAUAUCUUGAGGCAAGUAGGGGUGUGUGGAACUCUUGGUGGAGCGGUGGAAUGCGUAGAUAUCAAGAGGAACGCCGAAGGUGAAGACAGCACACUGGACUUGUACUGACGCUGAGGCGCGAAAGCGUGGGGAGCGAACAGGAUUAGAUACCCUGGUAGUCC